rnacentral:rRNA from 1 species
ACCCGCUGAACUUAAGCAUAUCAAUAAGCGGAGGAAAAGAAACCAACAGGGAUUGCCUCAGUAACGGCGAGUGAAGCGGCAAGAGCUCAAAUUUGAAAGCUGGCUCCUUCGGGGUCCGCAUUGUAAUUUGCAGAGGAUGCUUCGGGAGCAGCCCCCAUCUAAGUGGCCUGGAACGGUCCGUCAUAGAGGGUGAAAAUCCCGUCUGGGAUGGGGUGUCUGCGCCCGUGUGAAGCUCCUUCGACGAGUCGAGUUGUUUGGGAAUGCAGCUCUAAAUGGGUGGUAAAUUUCAUCUAAAGCUAAAUACUGGCCGGAGACCGAUAGCGCACAAGUAGAGUGAUCGAAAGAUGAAAAGCACUUUGAAAAGAGAGUUAAAAAGCACGUGAAAUUGUUGAAAGGGAAGCGCUUGCGACCAGACUCGCCCACGGGGUUCAGCCGGCAUUCGUGCCGGUGUACUUCCCCGCGGGCGGGCCAGCGUCGGUUUGGGCGGCCGGUCAAAGGCCCUCGGAAUGUAACGCCCCCCGGGGCGUCUUAUAGCCGAGGGUGCCAUGCGGCCAGCCCGGACCGAGGAACGCGCUUCGGCUCGGACGCUGGCAUAAUGGUCGUAAGCGACCCGUCU